UACGAAGGGGGCUAGCGUUGCUCGGAUUGACUGGGCGUAAAGGGCGCGUAGGCGGUUCGUACAGUCAGACGUGAAAUUCCUGGGCUCAACCUGGGGGCUGCGUUUGAUACGUGCGGGCUUGAGUGCGGAAGAGGGUCGUGGAAUUCCCAGUGUAGAGGUGAAAUUCGUAGAUAUUGGGAAGAACACCAGUGGCGAAGGCGGCUACCUGGUCCGAUACUGACGCUGAGGCACGAAAGCGUGGGGAGCAAACAGG
rnacentral:rRNA from 1 species